rnacentral:piRNA from 1 species
UGUGAAGCGAACAACAAAUUG